rnacentral:misc_RNA from 1 species
GGAAGUUAAAGUCGUAACAAGGUUUCCGUAGGUGAACCUGCGGAAGGAUCAUUAUUGUAUAACCGAGGUGCGAGGGCUGUCGCUGACCCGAAAGGUCGUGCUCGCCCGAGUGCCCUCACACACAUCCAUCUCACCCCUAUGUGCACCACCGCGUGGGUCCCCCUUUGGCUUGUUCGGAGGGGGGCUUACGUUUUCACACAAACUUUGUAUGCAGUGUAGAAUGUAUUUUUUGUUUUUGCGAUCACGCAAUCAAUACAACUUUCAACAACGGAUCUCUUGGCUCUC